GUUCGUGCGGUCAAGAUGGCUUCAAAUGAAUUGUAUAUUGUAAAUUUUAAAAUCCAGUUAAAUUUUCGAUAUAUUCGUAUACAUACAUAUGUAUGUAUAACAUAUAAGAACGAAUGUACAUACAUAGAUACCCAUGUAUAUAGUUUAUGAGUUAACUACUAGGAUUGGCUUGUUAAUGAAUUAAUUUUAACUUAAUUAUUAUUAUUAAGCGGUUUAAGAAUAAUUUUUAAAUUACGCAUAACUACAUUUGUCCUUAUUAUCAAAAUAUUUAUUUUUGUUGUAAAGGUGAUCUCUUUUAAGUAAUCAUAACAUUAUGUUGGUAUCACUUUAUGAGUUAUUUUUAACUUAAUCAUGAGUUAAACAAAUAUAAAAAUUGUAAAUGGUUAUAAAGAAUCACAAAAGCAAAUAUGUACUAAGGUUCGAAACUAAGGCCGAUCAAAGUUAUAAAAAAAAAUAGAUUAUAAAACACUCAAUAACAUGUUCCCUAUUAAAAAAUUAAUGUUACAAAAAAUGGAUGAAAAAGCAUCAAUAAUUGGAGAAGAACUAUUUAUUAAUAUUAUAAAUAAAAAAGUACGAAUUUACUUGGAGACGAAAUAAUAAUAAGAUUUUUAAUGUGAUGGUGUCCAAAAUAAAAAAACAUUAUGUUUGGGUAAAUCUCUUUGAGCUUAAAGAAAUGUUUGGAUUAAAUUGGAUUUGGAAGCGUUGCUGAACUCCCUGAGCCGAAACAAAAUCCAUAGGUCACUGGUUGAUCCGACCAAGAGUUUGGGUGAAUCUCUUAAGGAAAAGGCAACAGGAAACGAUGUUAAACUCUCUGAGCCUAAUCAAAAUCUCAUAUAUUUGGUACUCAGAAUAAUUUAAUAAAGAUUAUGAAAAGAAACGGAAUAAAUAAAACAAA